CAGCAAAUGCGAUAAUUUGUGCGAACUGCAGAAACCUUGAGCACAAAAGUUUUGAACGCAUAUUGCCGCAUUGGGGUCAAACCCUUUGCUACGUCUGGUUCAGGGUCAUU
rnacentral:rRNA from 1 species